AAGCCGCGGCCCUUGCAGAGCAAGGGGAACUACUACUUCAAGUCUGGAUUUCCCCAGAAGAACUGGAUGAGAGGUUCUCAGCGUAACAUGAAUGGAGAGAGUGAGGACUGAUUGGCACUGCUGAAAAUCAAUGGUGAAGCAGGCUUUGAUGACAUGAGCUGUUCCAGUAUCGUCACCUCUGCCAAAACUCUCUGCAAGAUUCAUACUUCAAUGGACUGACUUUUCCUAGGAGUCCAAAUAGAGAGUGCAAAAGGGAUUUUGCUCUCUGAUUUUCUUUUUCUAGUAUUGUACAAAAUUGUUCUGAGUUUGAUUUAAGUUGAGUACUUUGAGACAAUAUAAUGAAAGGUGACGCAAUGGCUACAGAUACAUACAUAAUGAUACAUUGAUUCAAUUGUAUUUUUGAAAGCAGGGUAAAUACUUGAUUAAACAAGGGAUACAAAGAAUA